GGGGGGCAGGCAAACUGGGAAGCUGUGUCCUCUUGUUCUGAAACCCUUCUUUUCUUUCCCAAGGUGAGAAAUGUCGCAGCUUCAUUGACCUGGCCCCAGCUUCAGAGAAAGGGGUGCUGUGGCUGUCGGUGGUCUCCGAGGUGCUCUACAUCCUUCUGCUGGUGGUCGGCUUCAGCCUCAUGUGUCUUGAGCUCCUCCACUCCAGCAGCGUCAUAGAUGGGCUCAAGCUCAAUGCCUUUGCUGCAGUCUUCACGGUGCUCUCAGGUCUCCUGGGAAUGGUCGCACACAUGAUGUACACACAAGUGUUCCAGGUCACUGUGAGCCUCGGUCCUGAAGACUGGAGACCUCAUUCCUGGGACUAUGGGUGGUCCUUCUGCUUGGCCUGGGGUUCAUUUACCUGCUGCAUGGCGGCGUCCGUCACUACGCUCAACUCCUAUACCAAGACAGUCAUUGAGUUCCGGCACAAGCGCAA
rnacentral:lncRNA from 1 species